rnacentral:rRNA from 1 species
UACGUAUGGAGCAAGCGUUAUCCGGAUUUACUGGGUGUAAAGGGAGCGUAGGCGGCCCUGUAAGUCUGAUGUGAAAAUUUGGGGCUCAACCCCAAACGUGCAUUGGAAACUGCAGGGCUUGAGUGCCGGAGAGGCAGGCGGAAUUCCUAGUGUAGCGGUAAAAUGCGUAGAUAUUAGGAGGAACACCAGUGGCGAAGGCGGCCUGCUGGACGGUAACUGACGCUGAGGCUCGAAAGCGUGGGGAGCAAACAGG